rnacentral:rRNA from 1 species
AGAGUUUGAUCCUGGCUCAGGACGAACGCUGGCGGCGUGCCUAAUACAUGCAAGUAGAACGCUGAAGAAAGGAGCUUGCUUCUUUUGGAUGAGUUGCGGACGGGUGAGUAACGCGUAGGUAACCUGCCUUGUAGCGGGGGAUAACUAUUGGAAACGAUAGCUAAUACCGCAUAACAGCUUUUGACACAUGUUAGAAGCUUGAAAGAUGCAAUUGCAUCACUACGAGAUGGACCUGCGUUGUAUUAGCUAGUAGGUAGGGUAACGGCCUACCUAGGCGACGAUACAUAGCCGACCUGAGAGGGUGAUCGGCCACACUGGGACUGAGACACGGCCCAGACUCCUACGGGAGGCAGCAGUAGGGAAUCUUCGGCAAUGGGGGCAACCCUGACCGAGCAACGCCGCGUGAGUGAAGAAGGUUUUCGGAUCGUAAAGCUCUGUUGUAAGAGAAGAACGUGUGUGAGAGUGGAAAGUUCACACAGUGACGGUAACUUACCAGAAAGGGACGGCUAACUACGUGCCAGCAGCCGCGGUAAUACGUAGGUCCCGAGCGUUGUCCGGAUUUAUUGGGCGUAAAGCGAGCGCAGGCGGUUUAAUAAGUCUGAAGUUAAAGGCAGUGGCUUAACCAUUGUUCGCUUUGGAAACUGUUAAACUUGAGUGCAGAAGGGGAGAGUGGAAUUCCAUGUGUAGCGGUGAAAUGCGUAGAUAUAUGGAGGAACACCGGUGGCGAAAGCGGCUCUCUGGUCUGUAACUGACGCUGAGGCUCGAAAGCGUGGGGAGCAAACAGGAUUAGAUACCCUGGUAGUCCACGCCGUAAACGAUGAGUGCUAGGUGUUAGGCCCUUUCCGGGGCUUAGUGCCGCAGCUAACGCAUUAAGCACUCCGCCUGGGGAGUACGACCGCAAGGUUGAAACUCAAAUGAAUUGACGG